GAUGAACGCUGGCGGCGUGCCUAAUACAUGCAAGUCGAGCGAACAGACGAGGAGCUUGCUCCUCUGACGUUAGCGGCGGACGGGUGAGUAACACGUGGAUAACCUACCUAUAAGACUGGGAUAACUUCGGGAAACCGGAGCUAAUACCGGAUAAUAUAUUGAACCGAAUGGUUAAAUAGUGAAAGACGGUUUUGCUGUCACUUAUAGAUGGAUCCGCGCCGCAUUAGCUAGUUGGUAAGGUAACGGCUUACCAAGGCGACGAUGCGUAGCCGACCUGAGAGGGUGAUCGGCCACACUGGAACUGAGACACGGUCCAGACUCCUACGGGAGGCAGCAGUAGGGAAUCUUCCGCAAUGGGCGAAAGCCUGACGGAGCAACGCCGCGUGAGUGAUGAAGGUCUUCGGAUCGUAAAACUCUGUUAUUAGGGAAGAACAAAUGUGUAAGUAACUAUGCACGUCUUGACGGUACCUAAUCAGAAAGCCACGGCUAACUACGUG
rnacentral:rRNA from 1 species